UACGUAGGGUGCGAGCGUUAAUCGGAAUUACUGGGCGUAAAGCGUGCGCAGGCGGCUUUGCAAGACAGAUGUGAAAUCCCCGGGCUCAACCUGGGAACUGCAUUUGUGACUGUAUAGCUAGAGUACGGUAGAGGGGGAUGGAAUUCCGCGUGUAGCAGUGAAAUGCGUAGAUAUGCGGAGGAACACCGAUGGCGAAGGCAAUCCCCUGGACCUGUACUGACGCUCAUGCACGAAAGCGUGGGGAGCAAACAGG
rnacentral:rRNA from 1 species